rnacentral:rRNA from 1 species
AGGACGAACGCUGGCGGCGUGCUUAACACAUGCAAGUCGAACGGUGAACCGGGCUUCGGCCCGGGGAUCAGUGGCGAACGGGUGCGUAACACGUGGGCAACCUGCCCCAGACACUGGGAUAACUCCGGGAAACCGGGGCUAAUACCGGAUACUCCGAUCGAACCGCAUGACUCGAUCGGGAAAGCUCCGACGGUCUGGGAUGGGCCCGCGGCCUAUCAGCUUGUUGGUGGGGUAACGGCCUACCAAGGCGACGACGGGUAGC